rnacentral:lncRNA from 1 species
UUUAACCACCAUCAUCCAGCAGUGGGACUUCCACCCUCGGCCCCAUGCCCCCCUCCUCAUUCUUGCUUUCUUCCUCUGGGCUGACCCAGACAGCAUCAUUUUGCACUACAACUACUGCCGGGAAGACGAGGAGAUCUACAAGGAGUUCUUUGAAGUAGCCAAUGAUGUCAUCCCCAACCUGCUGAAGGAGGCAGCCAGCUUGCUGGAGGCGGGCGAGGAGCGGCCGGGGGAGCAAAGCCAGGGCACCCAGAGCCAAGGUUCCGCCCUCCAGGACCCUGAGUGCUUCGCCCACCUGCUGCGAUUCUACGACGGCA